rnacentral:rRNA from 1 species
CUAAGGCUCCAGAGGAAGCCACGGCUAACUCUGUGCCAGCAGCCGCGGUAAUACAGAGGCGGCAAGCGUUGUUCGGAAUUAUUGGGCGUAAAGAGCACGUAGGCGGCCUUGCAAGUCAGUUGUGAAAGCCUUCCGCUUAACGGAAGAAUGCCAGCUGAUACUACAGGGCUUGAGUACGGGAGGGGAGAGUGGAACUUCUGGUGGAGCGGUGAAAUGCGUCGAUAUCAGAAGGAACGCCGGCGGCGAAAGCGACUCUCUGGCCCGAAACUGACGCUGAGUGUGCGAAAGCUAGGGGAGCAAACGGGAUUAGAUACCCCGGUAGUCCUAGCCGUAAA